CAGCGCCCGUCGCUACUACCGAUUGAAUGGUUUAGUGAGAUCGUUGGAUUGGCGUCUUUGUAGUGGCAUUGCCACUCGACUGAUGCUGAGAUGACCUGACUUGACUAAUUAGAGGAAGUAAAAGUCGUAACAUGGUUGCCGUAGGUGAACCUGCGGAAG
rnacentral:ncRNA from 1 species